UUCUUCCCUCACCUCAGCUCUACCGGAAACACCACCCUUCUUCUUCUUCUUCUUCUUCGAUCUUCCUCUCAACUUUGUUCACCUUCCCAUCUACAUUGUUCAUCUUCCUCUCUACUUUGUUCAACUUUGGGUUUUUUCUCUCUCCUCUGCUUCUCAGUCACUCUCUCUCCUCUACUCCUCUUAUCUGGUGCGGUAGAAAAAUAUUUCGCAAGCAGACCUAACUUGCCGUAAUUCAACCACGGAGACCUAGGUUGCCGGGAUUUCACAAGCAAACCUAGCACGACGACACCAUUCCUUUCUCUUGCCGGGAUUUGGAUUUUUAAUUAAGUUUAAGAAAUUAGGGUUUGUGAAGAAUUUCGGGAUUUGGGAGUUCGAGCGUUUCGUAUCGGCAGCAAAGCACUACUCGGAACCACUCCACAGCAGCAGCGGAGUGACGGACGACAGCCCGCGGUGGUGGUUGACGGAGCUUGCUAGGAUGAUUGGUGAAUGGUGGUUCCUUCAAUGUCAGAAAUUAAAGCCAUGGUUGCUGACAUGCUAGACUUGCGUUUCGCGGAUGAUUCUUUUGAUGUGGUUAUUGAGAAAGGAACAAUGGAUGUAUUGUUCGUGGACAGUGGUGAUCCGUGGAACCCAAAACCUGAAACCGUAAGCAAGGUAACGACAAUGCUUCAAGGCAUCAUCGGGUCUUGAAGCCAGAUGGUAUCUACAUAUCAAUUUCUUUUGGGCAGCCACACUUCAGGCGUCCGUUAUUUGAAGCUCCUAAUUUUACAUGGUCUAUGAAAUGGAGUACCUUUGGUGAUGGAUUCCAUUAUUUCUUCUACACUCUAAAGAAGUCCAUUGAGUGAGAGUGCUGGUACUGUUGGUGCUAGAGUAGUAGUGUCCGCUGAACAUUCUGGACAUAUGCCAAUGGCUGAGGUCUUCAAGCUUUCUGUUUCCACAUAAUUGGAGCCUUUUUAACCCUUAAGGAUGUUAUUCUUGGUAAAUAGCAGUGGUGCACCCUAGUUUGGUAGACGAUCGAGAUAUUGUUUGUCAAGCAUUAAAUGGAAUCAAGAUGGGUGAUAAAACCCCUUACUGUUCGGCGUGCUAACCAGGGUACUUAACAACCAAAGCCAGAGCAAGAGAGUGUAUAUAUGCAUGCCCAACAGCAGAUUGCAUUGCAGUCGUUCGUGCUGUUUUGGACGUAUCCUUUCCCCAACUUUGAUUCAUCUUCCACUUGGUCUAUACUCCGAGGAAUGCGCCUUAUGCUAGUGAGGAAAUUGAUGUGGUUCGUGAGCAAUGGGCUAAGUUUUUUACCAGCUAGGAAGUAUUUAUUAUUUAAUUUGUCUGAGCGCGCUUGAUCGAGUUGGUUUAGAUGUCAUAGAACAAUCUUUUAUAUUAAAAUGUAUGCGUACGUUGAAAUUGGAACGUAUAUAUAUUUAAAUGUAUGUGGUACGUGCACUUUGAU